rnacentral:tRNA from 1 species
GGGUCCGUAGCUCAGCUUGGAUAGAGCAGCACCGUCCUAAUCCGAAAGGAUUAAGGUGAUGGUCACGGGUUCAAAUCCCGUCGGACCCG